rnacentral:lncRNA from 1 species
GAGUUUUUGCAGAUUUUCAAAUAAAACUCAGAGAAUCCUUGUAUGAUUCUCUCAAAUCUCUCUUUUGUGGUAUUUCUGGAUCCUUACCAAGGCAGUGAUAGUAUAUGCCUUCUCUCAAGAUAUGUAGUAUUUGUGGUAUAAAGCAUAGUGACAUUGCCUUCUCUCUCACCCUACUCUAAUAAGGCUUUAAUAUCUGGAGCACAUAGGUGAGAGAUAAAGUAUACAUACUUACAAGACAUUUAUUGCAUAGUCAAACCAUGGAUCCAAAGAAACAAAUCAAUAAGCCAAAUCAAGAUGUGCAUGUGUGGUGAAUGAAUGGUGUAUGGUGAUGAUGGUGAUAACAAUGGUGAAAGCCUAAUUCUACUUUUGCUCUUUGAGGGGAUACAUACCUUUCUUGCUUUUUGAAAUUUUAUGAGGAGAAUGAGAUGCUCUUCUUUUUUUUCUUUUCUCUCAGGUGGGUAUCUUGUACCCCUAAUUCUACUGUCGGACACUUGUCCAUUUUUACCUCUCGUCUCACUUUUUCUUUUCUUUCGAGGCUCCGGGCACUUGCCCCUUUUUAUUUCCUCGUAUCUCUUCUUUUUUUAGAGCACUCAUCUCUUGAGAUAAUAUAGCAAGUGGUAGUAACAAGAUAACUUGAGCAUUUAUUUCACAAGGAAAAAUAGAAAUAUUUUUGGUUAUUCUCUCCCGAAUUAGGAGUAGAAUAUUUUUGGGUGAUUUGGAGAUGGAAAUGGAUGGAUAUAUGCGGAUGGUACUUCCGGAGUAGAAGUAGCAUAUAUGAGUGAACGUGCAAGUGAAUCUUGAUUUAACCACAUGACAAGCUCCUAAGGGUCUACACAGCUUGACCACACUCAAUGCUCAUAAGAAGUAAAUAGUAAAUGUGUUGCUCAAAGUAUAGCAAGCAUGUAUAUAUGGCUGUGGUAGGAAUUUAAACUCUCAUCAUACAGGAACUCAUCAUGCAACAUUUUAAAGAUUUUCAAAGAUAAAAUUCUCCAGAAUUCUAGCAUCACUAGGAACAGAUAAACAGCAGCUCAACCUUCCCAUAUUAUAUCCGUUAACAACUUAGACUUCAGAUCAAGUUUUCAUCCCACAAGUUUAGGUCUAGAGCAAGCUUUAC